rfam:Picea glauca, whole genome shotgun sequence.
ACAUGCCUAAAAAUUAGCGUUCAUGCACCAAAUCCAAUUAUAACUCCGUAGUUAAGAGCGCUCAGGCUAGAGUAGUACUAGGAUGGAUGACCACCCGUGAAGUCUUAGUAUUUUACAUGCC